GGUCUUUUUACAAUUAAUGUCAAGCUUCCAUUUCUCACAAUAAUUUUCCACAGGUUUAAGAGCAUUACUAAGAGAGAGAGAGAGAGAGAGAGAGAGAGAGAGAGAGAGAGAGAGAGAGAGAGAGAGAGAGAGAGAGAGAGAGAGAGAGAGAGAGAGAGAGAGAGAGAGAGAGAGAGAG